rnacentral:rRNA from 1 species
GUCUAUGGCCAUGCCACCCUGACUGUGCCUGAUCUUGUCUGAUCUUUGAAGCUAAGCAGGGUUGGGCCUGGUUAGUACUUGGAUGGGAGAUCACCUAGGAAUACCAGGUGCUGUAGGCA